UGUAGAGGAUAUUUGAUAGUAAAUUACAUGCUUUUAAAAAGAAAAUUUGCUUUAUAGUGAGGUGGUAAUCAUUUCAUAAUUCUUAGUUUCGGGAAGUGUCUACUAUAGGUAACGCAUCUGACCUUUUAAAAUGUAAGGAAAUUGAAUUUAUGUAAUGAUUCAGUCUUUUCAAAGUUACAAAGGUAGCUGUUUUGAGAAAUUGAUAGUUUGGGACAUUUAUUUUGAACAAAGUAAGCCUUUGAUCUUAUGCACAUAGCCAUAUAAGUAAAAGGUUUCCUUAUUUUAAAUUAGAUUAUAUUUUAAAGUUUUUUUCAUUUUUCUUUAUAUUUGACUGAUUGCUUUUCUUUAUUCUGAAGGCAUCCAUUAAGUUAAAUUGUUCAAAAUCGUUUCAAUUUGAAAAGCUGAGAACUGUUGUUUGUCAAAUCAAAGUUGGAUUUAAAAAUGCACAUUUUAAUUUUAAUAAGCUCUCUGGUAGUGGGACUGCAGUGACAGAUGGUUGGGAGUUUGUCCCUAAAGCUAUGACAUCGGUCUUCUAUUGUGCAUAUUUGUUCCGUGUAGCCCUGGAAGAUUCUUUCUCUAUUUUCGAAUGGCACAACAGAAGUGACUUCAAAAGAAGAGGAAGAAGAGAUGGCUGAAGAUAUAGAAGACUUAGAUCACUAUGAGAUGAAAGAAGAGCCUAUGAGUGGGAAACAGUUGGAGGAUGAAGGAACUGAAAAAGAAAAUUGGGCAAUAUUAGAGAAAAUUAAGAAGACUGAAAGCCUGCAGUGUCUGGGUUAGUGCAAGCUUCAGAUAGACUUAUGAAAGGGCUCAGGGACAUAUACAGAUCACAGAGUUAUAAGACAGGGCUGAAGCAGUGCCUACUCGAUAGAAUCAGUCAUCAUGCAAAUAAAUGCCACCUGAGUCAAAGGCAAAGCCAACGUGCAGCUUGGAGCAAAGAAGUUAAAAGAAUAUUGGCAGAGGAAGAGCCCUGGCGUUCCAGCAGGAGCUAA
rnacentral:lncRNA from 1 species